UCCGGGAUGGUCCAAUUGGCAGGGCGGCGGGCUCUGACCCCGCAGACGCAGGUUCGAACCCUGCUCCCGGAU
rnacentral:tRNA from 1 species